rnacentral:lncRNA from 1 species
UAAACGCUGGGCAUGGGGACCCAACGGCACCGCUCAAGGUGACUGGGAGAAUGCCCCGCCUUCUCUCUCUGCUGCCUCCGCUCUCCCCCAUGACCUCGCUGCCCCCUCUCCUGCUGCCAUCGAAUCAGGCAACGCCCAUCAUGGCCAUCUGAACUCUAUGGACAAAUUAAAAGUGAAUCGCCUCCUCACACACACACACUCCUCACUGGCUCACUGUAACAGUGCUGCAGAG